rnacentral:lncRNA from 1 species
GGUCAGCCACCAGGGAAUGGAGUGUCUUGUCCCCCAGUGAGCCUGUCCAGGACCUGAGAUGAUGGAGGGAGGCUCUAGUGAAGGCCCAUCCAGCCCUCCCUCCACCACAGCACACCAGAGAAGUACCUCUGGCCCCCUGCACCCACCCCUUUCUCCCACACAGGUGUGCUCCUUCCCUUCAGUUCCCUCCACCUUAGAACCACCGCCGUUACCUGUGGAUGGUGUCCAGACCCGUCAAGGGCACUCGGGCUAAAGAGGUUGCUAAGACCUGCCUGAGAUCCCGCAGACGCCAACGGAUGAGCUUUCCAAAUGAUACACGACAGAACUCUUCACACGUUGAGCUUCUCUAGGGCAAUAAAAGAGGAUUUGAUCAUUAUCUGGUCUUGCAGGUGUAACUACAACCGGAGCUUAAAGUCAAGAACUAGCAAGUCUGUAAUGAUAAGAUGGUGGCCAACACUCUGUCACCCCAUCUUCCCGGACCACAAAGAAAAACCAGCCAAGGGCCACGGUAUCGGCCUUCCCCACAGUGACACCAAGUGACACCUGCACGGAUGAUGCCCUCACACCCCUGGCUGGGCCAGAGUGGCUGAAGUUGGCACUUGACUCAAGGAUCGCCCGCCACCUGUGAAGUGGCCCAUGGGAAAAGGGGCUCUUGGACAUGUGGCCUCGCCCAGAUGAUCUGAAGCAAGACGUAUGAUGAGAAAGAAGCAGAGGACAACAGCGGCUGACGCCAAGGGGAAGCCAGGGGACCGGCCUUGAGAGAAAUUCUGGGGCAGAGCCAGGGAGGGAAUGGCCGGCCUGGCUGGGACGAGUGAGGGGGGCACCGCACGAGGAGAGGGGACAGAGCCUGAUAGUAAGCAGGAGUGAAGACACGGGCUCCGUCGUUCCAGAACGCCAGCGGCUCCCAGCUUCCUACCACAAAUUGUUUCAAUUACUUAAGAUAACUGCAGUGUGUUCAUGUGUCUUCCAACUCAAAUAAACCUUGAACAAUUAACAACAACAAUGGCCAAAACGUGUAUAGUCAUUGGGAAGUAACAGGAUACCUAACAGUGGCUUGAACAAACAGGGCUUAAGUUUCUAACAUUUUUGAGAUCCAGGGAGAGGUGUGUGCAGGAAUCAGCUGAGUGUCUUUGCAACAAUCUUGACCGUUCCCUGAAGGACGCGAGGUGGCUGGGCAGGGCCGGUUCUCCAUGUGGGGAGUGGUGGGGCCGCAGCUGAGCCCUCAGCAGGGCGGGGACGGCAGAGCUUUACCCCACACCCCCACAGCAGGCUCCGCACACCUCUAACUGGCCAGAGCUGGGUCACGCGGCCGCCCCAGCAGCAAGGGAGCCAGGAACGUGGGUGGGUGCAAAGGGCACUGUCAAUCCUCUGAUACCCUCCCCAUUUCUGUCCCCCUCUCCCCUCCGAUGUAUUUCUGCUUCCGAUGGCCUGGCCUCCCAAUGACCUGGGGCUCCAGUGCACUGCCCACAGCCUACUGGAGCUAUUUUGCCUACUGGUGUGUGGAGGCAGAGAUGCCUCAACAACCAGUUGGUGUGGGAUGACAAAAGCCCCGCUCCCCUGCUUCCACCUGGGACUCACGGGGCGUGCAGUCCCCAUCAGGGGUCUCCAGGAACCAGGCUGAGCUGGGACUGUCGACCCCUGUUUGGCCUCACUUGCCCCACAUUCUUCUCAGCCUUCCCCUGCUCUGCUGCUCAUACACAGAUCCCCCCUCAGGGCUGCUCCCCUGGGAACCCAG